GAUACGGGCUCAGGUUUAAGAAUCACCACUAGCUUAAACUGCAAAAGGUUAAAAAUACAGGAUGAACUUAAUUUACUUUUUCAACCUCCUCGUUCUCUGGAUACUUCUUUCUUCCUUACUACACAGAAGACAAAAAAUAAAACAAAAACAUAUUGAUGGAGAGGAUAUAUAAAGCCCUCUUUCCUAAUUAGAGGGAACUCCUUUUCUACUCUAGUCUUUGGAUUUAUCUGUUCUGACCAGUCAUUUCAAACGGGACCCGCGGCUAGUCUCACUUGAUUUGCACUUGAUACUUAUUUCUCCAAUGGCUUGUUGCUCCUGAGUCUUGUCAGGGGCCUAGUGGACCUGCCCCGGGACUGAGGCCUAGGUCAGCACAGUGCACGUGUGCUCCGUGAUUGGCGUUUUCCCAUCGUGACAAAUCUGGGCAGCCCGCCUCCUGGCUCCUACCUGACAAGAAUCCCUGAGCAUCUCAGGAAGAAGGAGAAGCUCCAGCUCCCUGGAGGGACGGGAAGGGGAGACCUAUGGCAGGCGCUGCAGACCAGGCAGGAGUGUGCCGUUAGCUCCCAAAAGCUGACUCUCCCUGGGAGAGCUCUGGGUGCCAGCUGGCCACGGAGCCAGUCUUCAGCUGCGAGUCAAGAUGUGUUCCCUGGGCUCAGAGGAAGAAGGCACCUAUGCACAAAGGACUAGACGACUAGCUUGUUAGCUCACUCAGGUGGGGCUAGUCCCAGGUGUGUGUUAGGGGGAAGGGGCACUUACAUCAUAGGAUCUGCAGGCGCUUCAAAAUAAGCCAAAACGCUAAAACUCUCACAAUUGGAAUCUAUCCUUUGGAGUAAGGCAUUGAGAACUUCUCUUAAAGUGCGCUGUUAUCUCGGAGGAGUAACAAUCACUCCCCAAACUUCUCAGCAAGAAUUAGUAAAUUAGGUCAGUGGGUAGGUUCUCCCGGCCCCUCUCAUGAAACAGAACCUUAAAAAGAGUUCCUCUGCAUGGACACGUUCUUGAGAUCAGAGAAAAGCUGCGUGUGGACGAGGGGCUGUAGCCUAGAAAAGGUCGCCGUGGAAGGGGGAGACAAAUGAGAAGUUUCCCAGGGGUGGAUAUAAGCAGCGUGGUGUCACAAAGUAGCAAGUGUGGGCAAGGGAGCUGGCAGGCAAGUUGUCAAAGGCAAGCCUUUCUCCGUGGUAGAGUGGAACGAACGUGGAAUGUCUCAAAGGGCCUGAAUUCUAGCCUGGCUGUUCCACAUAAUGGGCUCUAUGAAUUCUGGUAACUUAACUGUUCUGGGCCUCGGUUUCGUCUUUUGCCAGAAGGGAAUGGCAAUCCCUGUUCCACCUGCCUCACACGGUUGUUGUGAGACUCGGAUAAAAAAAUGAAUAACAAAACUUUAUGUAAAUUAUACAAUGCAGUAUGAAUGAAAGGACUAUAAUUAUUUUAUUUCACAACCUUGCUCAGGGCUCUCUCUUAUUGAAAGUGAGUAUGAAAAUGAGCAAUUCCAGAUUGUCAAAUAUGAGACUAAGCACGAAUUUCUCACUUGGUUUUCGGUAGGGAUGAGCCAUGUCUAUUAGCGUUUCGGUGUCUGAGGUUCCAGCAUUCUCCAGCUUUACCUCCUGACAGCCUCCCCUUUUUCCAGCCAAGUCCAGCACUGUUUCCAGGUCUGGGGGCAUCUUGAAAGGCUUUCAAUGGAGGGUUCAGUUUUAAUCUUUGCAAGAACCUAGAAGCCCACUCCCACCCAUUUCCCUCCUGCCACAGCCCCCUCCUGAAGACUUCUUUGCAUUUAGCACAUGAUCUUGUCGAUAUUCUCAGCCUAGCUUUUUAAAGGUUUUCUGGCAAAUUGGGAGGCUAACUCCUUUAGGUCACUGAGCUACACAACUCCAGGAGGCGCUGUUUAUAUUCUAGACCACAGUGCGAAUAGCAUCCCCUGGAUUUGUGCAACACGAUCGUCCUGCUUGUGGUAUCUAGUCCCCUCUCCAUCCCAGCCUGCCCCUCUUUAACUCGCUAACUUCUACUUCUUCAGGACUGAGCUCUUCAUCUUCUUCUCUGGGAAGCUGCUCUGGCUGCCAAGGCCAGGUGAGAUAUCCCUCCUCUGCUUGCACAGCUCCCUGUGCCUCCCUCUGCCGGAGCACUGAUCACU
rnacentral:lncRNA from 1 species